CUCUUUGUGCGGUAAACUCGUGGCUGGUGAGGAUGGCCGUCGCGGAGUUCGCCUGGCUUUUGCUGCGAAACCGUCCCCAAAGGCGGGGGAGGGUGCCGCCCGGCACAUUUGCUUAGCUGCGCACAUGCAGGUACCUCGGGGCCCUGUUCGGUGAAGGGAUCACAGUCUAGGGCUGAGCAGGAUGAACUCCCAUUACAGACUAGAGUUUCUGAUGUCGCUCUGACGCUACUGCUCGGAACUGACCCAGCCCGGGUCAGGGGGGGCUCGUCUAAAGUCGCCGAGUCUUUGCUGACUCACUUGUUUCUUCCCAGGCCCCUGGUGCUCGAAGGAAGAUCCGCAGCGCGACGAGGGAGUGUAAGAUGUCCACAUCUUAAAUGGCCGCACUCGCCGCGUAAGUCCAGGGCCAAGGAUCGAAGCCCAGCCGCAGAAGCACGGAAUCCUUUAACCUGCAUCAGGCUGGGGAUGGAACCCGCACCUCCGCAGCGACCCCAGCAGCUGCAGUCGUAUUUUUAACACAGUGUGCAAGAGCGGGAACUCCUUAUUUUUGAAUAAGGCCCGAGAGCUCCUUAUCUUUGAAGCCCAGCCAGGGGCUGUCCCUUUCAGAGAUCUGGGCUAGACUGGAAAGAUUCUGGAAGGCCUAAGGUUUGGAAUUCUCUUGAAGAGCUGACAGGAUGGCUGUGGUGCCCAUAUAGUGGUUCCUGCCACUUGAACAGGCUGUGAGAAGUGGAGAAGAUGCCUUCAGCUUGGGUUCUGUGAACUUUGCAGACACAAAAGGAUGUCCUCUCUGGUGUUGGACAGAUCUUGGGAGCUUCACAUCUUUCCUGCAUUAACACAUGGGAGCAGCUAUCAACUCUUCCGAGCCAGGCGAACUGCCUAGAAAUUUGGGGACCCUUAAAUAUCAAUUAGGUGGUCUUCACUUCUUUACUUGGUUUUAGCAAAAGGAUUCCAAUAAAAUAUUUAAAAGUAAAUGAAAAAUAGAUUGGUCUUAGGCCAUAGCAACCACCAGAGCCACUGCAGUGACAACACCAGAUCCUUGACCUGCUGCGCCUCAAGGGAAAUCCUGAUAGUUGAGGUUUUUAUGAGACUGUUACAACAGUUAUCCAUUUGGCUUUUGAUGAGUUUGGUGAAAACAUAGAUUGUUCAGAUAUAUUUUGAAAGAAUUCUAUUCCUGGUGGUUGCCAGGGGCUGAGGAGGAGAAAAUGAGCAGUUAUUAAUGGGUUUAGAGUUUCAGUUGCCCAGCAUGAAAAGAAUGCAUGGGGGUGAAAGGUGGUAGUUCCACAAUGUUAUGAAUGUAUCAUCAGUGAAUUGUUUGCUUAAAGUGGUAAAAAUGGUAAGUUUUAUGUUUAUUUCACCCCAAUAAAAAAAUGGGGAAAAUCUCUGUGUUCCUUUUUGUCACUAUCACAAAGGGGGUUCUAAAAUUGGAAUUUCACAGUUCAAGGAAUUGGACAUUGAAGGUGACUUGUGUCAUUUGCUCUAUAAAUUGGUCCCAGC
rnacentral:lncRNA from 9 species